rnacentral:rRNA from 1 species
CCCUUAGAUGUUCUGGGCCGCACGCGCGCUACACUGAUGCAUUCAACGAGCCUAUCCUUGACCGACAGGUCCGGGUAAUCUUUGAAUCUGCAUCGUGACGGGGAUAGAUUAUUGCAAUUAUUAAUCUUCAACGAGGAAUGCCUAGUAGGCGCAAGUCAUCAGCUUGCGUCGAUUACGUCCCUGCCCUUUGUACACACCGCCCGUCGCUCCUACCGAUUGGGUGUGCUGGUGAAAUGUUCGGAUCGGCCGUCUGUCGCGGUUUCCGCGUCAUGUGGCUGAGAAGUUCAUUAAACCCUCCCACCUAGAGGAAGGAGAAGUCGUAACA